UUUUCCAAUUCACAUCAGGGA
rnacentral:piRNA from 1 species